rnacentral:lncRNA from 1 species
ACAAGGAUGAUAGGAUGAGAAAAAGAAAGGACAAAGGCACCAGAGGAGGUAUGCCAAAUGGGAAACUUUUCAUCACUUUCCAGAUAAAAACUAGCAGUCUGUGAAGGCAACUGGUCUGAUUUUUCAGGUAAGAACAUAUGAGAGGCAGGCUGAGACCAAUUUUCUACCAGGCCAGCUAAUUCAUCACAAUGACAAGCUAUGGGUCAUAUGCUUUCAGGAACCAGACACUGGAACAUGUCGUCUGAUGUACAUCACACCAAGAAAUAAAAAAAGAAUUGGAAAGCCAAUGUCCAAUUAUUUACUAAAACAGAAUCCACUGGAGAGAAAUGCAAAGGCAGGUAAAAAGGCAAUCUCUUAACAUGAAAACUCACAACUGUAAAAUGAGAACCUAAACUAUACAGCGACAAACUCAGGAAAAAGUCUCCAGCUACUGCUGUCUCUCAGACUCUCACAGUAUGUGUAACCACUUCCUCCUCUGCACGGAAUCACCCCAGAAGAUCAACUCUACUAGAUCAUUUGAGGACAAUGAACAAAGUCUCAAGACUGAAUUCCCACAGAAAACAUUCUCAUGAAACCACCCAAUAUUCUGGUGAAGUUAAAGAAGGGCAUGUGUUCGGAGACAACCAGAAGCAGCAAUGCUCAAAACCACAAAACUCUGGAUUGCCGACUCUGCACAUCCUGGUUCCUCUAGAUACAGUUCAGUGGCACAUUCACAAAUAAACGUUUUCAAAAACUGCCCUCAGGCAGUUCUAGAGAAAUGCUUUGACUUGCCUAAUGGUAUAAUGUCAAGAAAGGAAGACGAGCACUGAUCAUUCAUACUCAUUAUUACAGUCACAGGGCACUGUCUGACUUGACAGAUACAGCCGAGCAGUUAAAAGGUUAUGGGAAUUUAAGUCCAUUAUGGUCAUACGAUUCUUAUGGACCCAGAGAUAUGAAAUUAAUCAGCCACAUGUGUAGGGACAAAGUUUGUCAUAAAUAGAUAUAAGUUAUCUGCAUGCUAAGAACUUAGUUACUUAACUCUGUUUCCUCAUGUUAAUAUAAACAUAAUUAUAGAAUGCAAAUGAAAUACUUAGCCUGGAGCCUAUUAUAUAGGAAGCACUCAAUAAUUUCAAACUAUUGAGUAUAUUAUUAGAUAGGCUCCAUAAUUAUUUAUUCCUUUUUCAACAGACAGUAUGAUCUAUUGAAAAUAAAGCCAAACUAGAUUUCUUUGACCCACUCCUUUUUCUGUUUGUAUUGUUGGCAAGUUGUUCUAAAUCAACUUGCCAACAUACUAUUAACAUGUUAUUAACAUAGAAGGGAUGCUUAUUUUGUUUGCUUUGUAAGAAAUGCUUCUGAUUCAGUAACUGGGCAAUUUAUUUAAAUAUAAGUAAAAAGCAGAUUUUAUUAAAAACUACUUUGUGCUAUCAUAAAUAA